GACGAACGCUGGCGGCGUGCCUAAUACAUGCAAGUCGAACGAACUCUGGUAUUGAUUGGUGCUUGCAUCAUGAUUUACAUUUGAGUGGGUGGCGAACUGGUGAGUAACACGCGGGAAACCUGCCCAGAAGCGGGGGAUAACACCUGGAAACAGAUGCUAAUACCGCAUAACAACUUGGACCGCAUGGUCCGAGCUUGAAAGAUGGCUUCGGCUAU
rnacentral:rRNA from 1 species